rnacentral:rRNA from 1 species
CGAAGGCAUCCGAAUGGGAUUAAAGUAUUUAUCGGUGAUGGAUGGGGAUGCGUCUGAUUAGCUUGUGNGGGUACGCCACCAAGGCUACGAUCAGUAGGGGUUCUGAGAGGAAGAUCCCCCACAUUGGAACUGAGACACGGUCCAAACUCCUACGGGAGGCAGCAGUGAGGAAUAUUGGUCAAUGGGCGAGAGCCUGAACCAGCCAAGUAGCGUGCAGGACGACGGCCCUAUGGGUUGUAAACUGCUUUUAUAAGGGAAUAAAGUGAGUCUCGUGAGGCUUUUGCAUGUACCUUAUGAAUAAGGACCGGCUAAUUCCGUG